CUUUCCUCAGUCAAGGAUUGUGUUAGCCUCCUUUAAGUCACAGCAUUUUACAGAGGAUUACAUUUGACUGCAGAAGUAACAACUUGAUAACAGUUGCUCCCUUCCAGUGUUGAUGGAUACAGAAGAAAAAACUGAAACAAAUGGGACUCUACUAAUGUGAAGGACUCCAGGCUGCUGCUGCUUCUGGCUGCUGAGACUUUGGGAACAGAGUGAGAAAAAAUGUGCUAAAAGAUCCAAACUGGUAUAAGUCUGCUUGCUUGAGAAGAGUACAAAAUGUUGCCUCAGCCUUAUACAGAUAUGCUGGCUGGACUUUGAUGGGAUCCCAUUUCCAAUGGCAAGUGUCUGAGAUUGAUUUUACUAGCUGCUUGACUUGCUUGAUAUAGUAAUAUUAAUAAACUGACCAUAUCCAUGGCAAAUAACAUUUUUAAAUCCUAAUCUUUGGAGAAAGUGAUUUUAGAGAAAAUAUAAGCCAUUUCUGAAUGCCGUCACAUGGGAAUGCAUAUAUGCAAAUGAAGAGAAUAGCAUCCCUGAAAAUCGCAGAGGAAAACAUAAAUCUAGAGUAUCACAUACAUAAGACCUCAAACAAAUCCUUCAAUUGCUCAGUAAUCAGGUAGCAAUUUUAAAAGAUUUAUUACUAGAUAAAUGACAAAUUAAUAAUUUACUAAUGUUUUAUGUCUAUCUGUCAAUUAAUUUUGAAUAGUCUGAUAUAGUGACCAGGUAGGUUCUGUGUCUGCACCAAGGCAGGUAGUCUGACAUGGACAAAAUAUCUUUCCCCAGCUUCGCAUUUAUUAUAAAAUGAGAUGUAAAAGCUGUUUUUAUAUGGCUUCCAAACAAGCAUGAUGCAUUUCAAACAUUAUUAAUAGUCUUUUAAAAAGCAUUUCCCUUCCUCAACAGCAUUAGCAGGGUGCUGCUUUACAAGAGAUGUGAGGGCUUUUAAAAAAUUGAGAGUAAGACCUCAUAUAAAAACCUUUUAAAUAGCUUUUUAUUCACACAGACUCUCCUGCCUGGCAAUCUUGUGAAUGACACAUAAUUAGUGUCAGACAUCAUUCAAACUGCUGACAUCAGGUGGUCACCAACAAGGACGCUGCAUGCCACAGCUGAGAUUUAAAAGCCCAGGUUCAUUUCAUGUGAAAUGAGUGCUGUGCUUUUAACCCUUAAAGUGUUUAAAUGGGGAAUUCAUUAUACUGCAACCAUUUCUGUCUUAAUGGAGUACAUUUUGUGACAUGGUGAUUGAAUGCUUUGGCAGAUGCACAAUGCUUAUAUAAGGCUGUACUUUCCUCAAGCCAUGCAAAGGCUGGAAAUUUUUUCUUCUUUUACAGUUAAGCUUAUGAAAUGAUACAAUAUCUUGGAAUUCUUUGUUAUAGUAAAUAAUGACAGAGUAUGUUUAUAUAAAUUGCAUAGAUUAUAGUAGAUGCUUGUUUACCCAACCAUUCAAUAAGAACUUGUUCCAAAGCCUGUUGAAGUCAGUACGUAAUUACUCUUUUUUCCCCUAAAGAAAAAAAAAAAGGUUCUCUCCUUCACUACGUAUCUUCACUACAGGUAGUUUCCAUCAGGCAAAUUCCAUUAAAAUUUUAAGAUCCUGCAUGACAAAAGCAUAAAUGAAAACAAAACAAAACAAAAUUACGGUCUAUGAAAAAGCCUGAAGUGUAUAGGCUUUUUAUCUUCUUUGCACUUCCCACUUUAAGCUAAGAAGCUUAUUACAUUUAAUAGAUUUACAAGAAACUUUAUAUAUUGUGCACUUCUCAUAUUGUAAGAGCUUUUGUCUAAGGAGCACAUAUUUUUUUUUGUGUAUGUGUUUAGACAGAAGAUUAAUACACUCUAUCCUCAUCUGAUUUCAUUUUUCUAAUACAUCUGUCUACUUCGGUAUAUUAUAAGCAAGAAGAGCUACAUAUUGCUGCUAUAACUGAGAAAUGCAAUGAAAUCAAUAGCAAAAAAUAUAUUAAUGCAGAUGAAAAAGUUAAUAUACAGAAGAGUGAAUUUGAUUACUUUUUUUGUUUGUCAGAUACACAAAAGAGGCUAGCAUCUUGCAUUCUCUCUGAACAAAAUCUUACUAUAUCUGUCACAUUGUCCACAUUUUGCUGAGUAUUUCCAUAUGUAGAUGUAUUACUUAAGCUUAACAAUAAAAAUCAACUUAAAUCUU